rnacentral:rRNA from 1 species
UGGGGGAUAUUGCACAAUGGGCGCAAGCCUGAUGCAGCGACGCCGCGUGAGGGAAGACGGUCUUCGGAUUGUAAACCUCUGUCUUCGGGGACGAUAAUGACGGUACCCGAGGAGGAAGCCACGGCUAACUACGUGCCAGCAGCCGCGGUAAUACGUAGGUGGCGAGCGUUGUCCGGAAUUACUGGGUGUAAAGGGAGCGUAGGCGGGAAGACAAGUUGGACGUUAAAUUUAUCGGCUUAACCGGUAACCGCGUUCAAAACUGUUUUUCUUGAGUGAAGUAGAGGUUGGCGGAAUUCCUAGUGUAGCGGUGAAAUGCGUAGAUAUUAGGAGGAACACCAGUGGCGAAGGCGGCCAACUGGGCUUUAACUGACGCUGAGGCUCGAAAGCGUGGGGAGCAAACA